UCAUAAAACCACACAAAUGUUUUUUUUUGGAAAUCGUUUUUAAUUCUUUUCCAAUCCCUUUCCCAAUUUUGUUCAUUUCUUAUAUAUUCGUUGUACCAAAUAUUAGCGGCACUCUCUAGGAAAUUCCCGAAAUAAACAAUUUUAUAUGAAUCUGUCUAACCAUUACACGCAGUUAUUAUAUCAUAUUUUGAUAAAAAGGUUAGGGCAGAAUCCGAGUGGUGGUAUAAAUUUAGAGGUAGCUGGUUGUUUUGUUUCCGCAAAAGCAUUUGAUAAUGUAAUAGUUUGCAUGAUUUAGUUUGGUGAAUUAGUGGGAGGUUUUUGAGGGGUUGGUAUGGCUAGUGUCGUUGGUAAUUGCGGUUGAUUUAUUUGUAGUGUGGGUGAUUCGAGCGUUUGUGUUAUUUGAUUUAUAUGAAUCCGUUGUUAGGUUAUUUGGGUUAUUUUUAGGGUUCUGUAACAUGUAGGUAAGGGUUGAUGGGAUUGUAAAUUCAGCAGAGUUUGAAUUUGUAGCCUGAUAUACUUUAGCUAACUCGAAUGUAAAAGUAGAUGGAGAUAGUCGGGGUGAGCUCCUGGACAAGGAUGAUUAGGGUGUGAAUGGAUCUGUAGUAGUACUACUAUGUGUUGGCCUGAACUCUUUUGAAUUUGUUGCCCCUGGGUAAUUUUGUUACUUUUUUAUUCAACGUUUGCCUCCGAGCUCGAUCUUUUCUGACUGCGCGUUACCCUUUUUUGUUCGUCGCCCAUUUAAAUUAAAUAACGCCACAUACUACUUCAAGUUGAUUCCAAUACAUUAUACUUAAAAAAAAUAAAAUUUACGCGCAAUUUCAACAAAUUACUCCCGUUCUAAAAUAACAUGUUACCUUUUAUGGUUAUGGUUACCAAGAAAAAUUAGAAUUGUCAUAAUUAUAAUAUUUAAAACAAACGAAUAAAAAAAAAUAAAAUGUAAGUGAAAAAAUUUACAAAAUACGUGAUCUACAAUUGAGGGAUAUCAGUGCCUACAUGUCACGCGGUAUUUUAUUAGUUUUUUUUUGUUAAUUAUUUAUUUUAAUUAUCUGAUUAUGUGUUUUUAUUAUUUUGUCGUAACUGGACGUAAGGUACUAAAAUGAUAAGAAAGGCAAGAUUGGAAAACAAUAGCAACUUUAAAGUAUAGUAAAGUAAAACCGAUAUGAAAUUUAAAAAGACGAUAUGACAAUUACAAAUAGAUUUUGAGUUAGUUGUCAGGUAAUUUAGAUAGAUAACAUCACAAAUGAAAAUUGAACAAAAACGUUUAUAAAAAGGAUCUUUCUCUCAAUGCAGAUCAAUACACCGUAAAUGUUAACUAAAUCACUUAGGUACAUUGAUAGGAGCGCUGCAAUCAUCCUGACCAGGAGGUAGUGUCACCAACACACAGGGUUAUGGUUUUAAGCGUAUCCUCUUAAGGGUAGAGUCUUUUUGUUAACGCGUUAUAAAGUCAACCGUCCCCGAUUAGGCUAUCGAUCCCCGUUCACGCGCUAAACUUUAUUAUUCGUACAUAGUUCAAUAUGGAUCAUUCACUGAUUUUAGAAAUUUCCUUUAUUUAGUGAAAAACUGAUGAAAUUUCCGAUACUAAGUAGCUUAGAAACACCCCUGUCUUUUUCGAUGACUUCGUGAAGUUCCACAAUGUUCACAAUAACCAGAACUAUCGAAGUUGCGUUAAUUUCUGCUUGUACCUACAUAGAUAAUUCUUUUCGCUUACUGUUUUGUUGCUGCAGAAAGCCAAUACGCUUAUUUUGCAAUUUGUUUAAGACUCCACUGCUGGUCGCUGAAAUGAUAAUAAGGGGUCAUGAAAUAAUCACUUAUUCAUCAAUAAGUAUAGCGAGUGAACGGGGAUCGAUGGUCUAAUCGGGGACGUUCGACUCGGGGACGCAUUAACAGAAAGACUCUACCCUUAAGAGCAUAAUCUAAGAACCAUAAGUAAUGUAAGUGUUGGUGGCACUACCUCCUGGUCAGGAUGAUUGCAGCGCUCCUAUCAAUGUUUAGGUUAGGCUCAGAUCAAGGACAGCAUCACACCAUAUUUUUCGGGCCCCAGCUCCUAGCUGCCCCAAGAGCUCCGUGGCUUUCCAACGACUAUUAGCAUUUAGUUGUAAGAGUUUUACGGAUACAGCCCCUCGUUGAUAUUCCUCUUAAGUAGCUUUUUCCGUUUUUCUAUAUAGUACAACGCAUACUAUCCACCGAUGCUCAUUAUUGAUGGAGUCACAAUUAUGGUACUUACUUCAUCUGUGAGGUGCAACUCUUUGCCUCGUGCUUCGCUUUCUUAAUACCUUUACUCUUGCAGGGCAUGAUGUAAUGACCAAGGUCCAGACACUUGAAGCACCUAAAUUGGAACACCCUUUCUUCCAGUCGACAGGAAUUCCACCCAGUCCUAACGCGUCUCCUUUGAAGAAGCUCCGGACAGAAGAUAAGCCUUCCCUAGCCCAGCACCGACCAUACCUAAUCUCUUUCAAAUGGGCUAAGAGAUCCAUGUGAAAAUCCUUGAACUAAUUAAUAAAAAUGCUUCACACAUUGAUAACGAAACGUAUCAUAUUCCUUAAUUUUCUUGGAGUUCUAAUUGUGGCAGUUUACGUGCAUAAUACAUUGCUGUUAUAAUUAAAACCUCCCGUUGUUGUAGUUAAACUCUAAAUAAGAAAUCAGAAGAUUUUUUGUUUUUUUUAAAAAGAGUUUUCUACGAAGUGGCAACGUAUACUUCAUUUACUUUCUC